GGAUUAUAGCUCAGUGGUAGAGCGCUUGCCUAGCAUGUGUGAGGCACUGGGUUCAAUACUCAGCACCA
rnacentral:tRNA from 1 species